GACGAACGCUGGCGGCGUGCUUAACACAUGCAAGUCGAACGGAAAGGCCCUGCUUUUGUGGGGUGCUCGAGUGGCGAACGGGUGAGUAACACGUGAGUAACCUGCCCUUGACUUUGGGAUAACUUCAGGAAACUGGGGCUAAUACCGGAUAGGAGCUCCUGCUGCAUGGUGGGGGUUGGAAAGUUUCGGCGGUUGGGGAUGGACUCGCGGCUUAUCAGCUUGUUGGUGGGGUAGUGGCUUACCAAGGCUUUGACGGGUAGCCGGCCUGAGAGGGUGACCGGCCACAUUGGGACUGAGAUACGGCCCAGACUCCUACGGGAGGCAGCAGUGGGGAAUAUUGCACAAUGGGCGGAAGCCUGAUGCAGCAACGCCGCGUGCGGGAUGACGGCCUUCGGGUUGUAAACCGCUUUCGCCUGUGACGAAGCGUGAGUGACGGUAAUGGGUAAAGAAGCACCGGCUAACUACGUGCCAGCAGCCGCGGUGAUACGUAGGGUGCGAGCGUUGUCCGGAUUUAUUGGGCGUAAAGGGCUCGUAGGUGGUUGAUCGCGUCGGAAGUGUAAUCUUGGGGCUUAACCCUGAGCGUGCUUUCGAUACGGGUUGACUUGAGGAAGGUAGGGGAGAAUGGAAUUCCUGGUGGAGCGGUGGAAUGCGCAGAUAUCAGGAGGAACACCAGUGGCGAAGGCGGUUCUCUGGGCCUUUCCUGACGCUGAGGAGCGAAAGCGUGGGGAGCGAACAGGCUUAGAUACCCUGGUAGUCCACGCUGUAAACGGUGGGUACUAGGUGUGGGGUCCUUUCCACGGGUUCCGUGCCGUAGCUAACGCUUUAAGUACCCCGCCUGGGGAGUACGGCCGCAAGGCUAAAACUCAAAGGAAUUGACGGGGCCCCGCACAAGCGGCGGAGCAUGCGGAUUAAUUCGAUGCAACGCGUAGAACCUUACCUGGGUUUGACAUGGAUCGGGAGUGCUCAGAGAUGGGUGUGCCUCUUUUGGGGUCGGUUCACAGGUGGUGCAUGGCUGUCGUCAGCUCGUGUCGUGAGAUGUUGGGUUAAGUCCCGCAACGAGCGCAACCCUUGUUCACUGUUGCCAGCACGUUAUGGUGGGGACUCAGUGGAGACCGCCGGGGUCAACUCGGAGGAAGGUGGGGAUGACGUCAAGUCAUCAUGCCCCUUAUGUCCAGGGCUUCACGCAUGCUACAAUGGCUGGUACAGAGAGUGGCGAGCCUGUGAGGGUGAGCGAAUCUCGGAAAGCCGGUCUCAGUUCGGAUUGGGGUCUGCAACUCGACCUCAUGAAGUCGGAGUCGCUAGUAAUCGCAGAUCAGCAACGCUGCGGUGAAUACAGUUCCCGGG
rnacentral:rRNA from 1 species